rnacentral:rRNA from 1 species
AGUGAACGCUGGCGGUAGGCCUAACACAUGCAAGUCGAACGGCAGCACAGUAAGAGCUUGCUCUUACGGGUGGCGAGUGGCGGACGGGUGAGGAAUACAUCGGAAUCUACUUUUUCGUGGGGGAUAACGGAGGGAAACUUAUGCUAAUACCGCAUACGACCUACGGGUGAAAUCAGGGGAUCUUCGGACCUUGCGCGACUGAAUGAGCCGAUGUCGGAUUAGCUAGUUGGCGGGGUAAAGGCCCACCAAGGCGACGAUCCGUAGCUGGUCUGAGAGGAUGAUCAGCCACACUGGAACUGAGACACGGUCCAGACUCCUACGGGAGGCAGCAGUGGGGAAUAUUGGACAAUGGGCGAAAGCCUGAUCCAGCCACACCGCGUGGGUGAAGAAGGCCUUCGGGUUGUAAAGCCCUUUUGUUGGGAAAGAAAAGCAGCAGGUUAAUACCCCGCUGUUCUGACGGUACCCAAAGAAUAAGCACCGGCUAACUUCGUG